rnacentral:misc_RNA from 1 species
GAUGAAGAACGCAGUGAAAUGCGAUAAGUAAUGUGAAUUGCAGAAUCCAGUGAAUCAUCGAAUCUUUGAACGCACAUUGCGCCCGCCAGCAUUCUGGCGGGCAUGCCUGUUCGAGCGUCAUUUCAACCCUCGACCUCCCUUUGGGGAAGUCGGCGUUGGGGACCGGCAACACACCGCCGGCCCUGAAAUGGAGUGGCGGCCCGUCCGCGGCGACCUCUGCGUAGUAAACCAACUCGCACCGGAACCCCGACGUGGCCACGCCGUAAAACACCCAACUUCUGAACGUUGACCUCGAAUCAGGUAGGACUACCCGCUGAACUUAAGCAUAUCAAUAAGCGGAGGA